UACGUAGGGGGGCAAGCGUUGUCCGGAAUCAUUGGGCGUAAAGAGCGUGUAGGCGGCUUGGCAAGUCUGGUGUGAAAUCUUGCGGCUCAACCGCAAGCGGUCACUGGAAACUGCCUCGCUAGAGUCCGGAAGAGGAGAGCGGAAUUCCUGGUGUAGCGGUGAAAUGCGCAGAUAUCAGGAGGAACACCAAUGGCGAAGGCAGCUCGCUGGAACGGUACUGACGCUGAGGCGCGAAAGCGUGGGGAGCGAACAGG
rnacentral:rRNA from 1 species